rnacentral:rRNA from 1 species
AGGCGGUCUUAUAAGUCAGUGGUGAAAGCCUACAGCUCAACUGUAGAACUGCCAUUGAUACUGUAGGACUUGAAUUCGAUCGAAGCGGGCGGAAUAUGACAUGUAGCGGUGAAAUGCUUAGAUAUGUCAUAGAACACCGAUAGCGAAGGCAGCUCACUAGGUCUGGAUUGACGCUCAGGGACGAAAGCGUGGGGAGCAAACA